rnacentral:ribozyme from 1 species
UUUUGUGAUAAAUGCAAACCACAAUUUACGACAGACGAAGCAAAAGAUGGAUUAGAACUUGAAGUGG